ensembl:lncRNA
CUUGCUAAUAAAUCAAAGGCGUGCUGUCAAAUCUUUAUCUCUGGGAGGAAGUUUCUUCUUGCAAGCAAUUAGGAAUUCUCAGCUGCUCUGCAGUUCAGUGGGUUUUCUCUGUAAAUACAAGUUAGCAGAGGUGAGGUGAGGCCACAGCGUGGCUCUUUGCUUGCUGCAGUCACAGCGUCUGCUGUGCCAUGCGCAGCGCUGUAUUCUGAUCUCUCUUACGUCUAGACGGAUAUUCAUAAUGAAAUAGAUGUCUGGAUAAUGAAGUAGACUUUCACAGUCCUAAUGGGAUUGAAGCCUGCAAAGGAUGGAAAAAGAGCAACUUGCACUACACCCUCCAAGGCCCCUGGAUUUCACAGUAGGUUUUUUGGAAUACUAGAUCGGAUUGGAAGAUACUUACGUGAUUGCCAACAGAGUUCAGAAACACACUUGAUAACGCAGGAGAGAAGGAUGUGAAUGGACUAAGUGGGGAAAACAACAAAUAUUCACUAAUGCUUAGGGGGAAAUAUACAUCAUGGUAUAGAUGAGAACCGUGGCAGAAUGAAGUGCUGACUUCAGGUCAUCUCUGACUGAACAGAUGGUCUAGCUGCCAUAAUGACGACUACAGACAUGUAAUUACGCCAAACUUUGGCCAAAAUCAGGUUGUACAAUAUAUUUGUCAAUGAGUAGAGCCAAGUGAACCUCCAUAGGAACUGUAGCAUGCCCAAAUGCUGCAUGGAUCCCACGGUUCUCUGUGGUAUGCUUUGGCAGUGGUCAGUUAAAUGCUUCAGAGGAACUGGAGUGAUUAUAAAUCAACUUCGUCAUCAUCCAUAAGGUGGAUGGAGAACAUUUCAUAAAAGUGAAAAAAGGUUUCCAGGGAGAUCUUCUUGAGGUGUGAAUAGUGCCCACUGUGUGCAAUACCCCUGACAGGAGACAGUGCAGAUGCAGCACCUACCUUUUUGCUCCAGAAAGCACUCAAAAGAAGACACGAUUGCCCUUUGGCACCUUCGGAGGCUGUUCCAGGAUGCAUCAUCCCCUAGUUCUAAGCUUCCGUGUCUCUAGAAAACUGGAUGACUCUAGAGAGGAAUUCCAAACUCUUCCCAACUCCUCCAAUUUUGAAAGGCCGUUUUCCAAGACAAAACUUUGUUGAAAAGCGAUGUGUUUAAGAUAGGGGUGUAACUUCUAAUAAUAUGAAACUACAGAAGAAAAAAAAGUGCUUGAAUAUGGAUUUGACCAUGGGACAUUGGAAAUGCAAAAGAAUUUUAGACUUUUUAAUGCAAAUAAGCAAGUUGCAUCAUUCCAAGUUCAUUCAGAGGCAUAUGUUGAAACAACACAAAGCAAUGUAAAUAAGCAGUCCAAAUCACUUGUCAGACGGCUUUACAACAAUGGAUGACUUUCCUUAGUGCCUUAGUGCUGCUCUAUCUGCAAGGAAUCUUCCUGGAGCACCUCUUGAGAGCUGCCACAAUAUCAAGUUAAUUCAUGUUGAUGGCCACUGCCUAUUAGUCACUACUUUGAGAAGGAACAACAGCGACAGGAUACUUGAAAAGAAAUACUGCAGCUGAUGCUUUGCAUUAUGAAAAAUGCCGACAUCUGAUCCAUUUUGAUAUCCUUGAAUAUCUGAUCUUUGGAAAAAUUACAUGUGGAGUUCAGGACAUUGGGCAUUUGCUCCCUGAGUGAUGGAGUCCAGAACCUGUUUAAGGGUCCCAGCAGCCCACCUCUAUUUCAUAGUAGACAACCCCUUGAGUGACAAAAACCUUUUAAAGGGGAAAAAUAACAUGAACAACUCCUUCUAACAUGGUUGGAAUUGAGACCACCUAAGUUUUUGCUCUAAGCUGUUCCUGUACAAUCUGUUUCCCAGGUAAUCUUCAUGUUUAUUUAAGAGAAAGAGAUCAUCCCGCUCUUUCACAGAAGCUCUCUCUUAGCCUUUUGAGGAUGCUCCAGGCUAAUGUAUGGAGCCUAGAGGGUGUAAUUCAUAGUUUGAAACCUAUUACACUCAUGCCUUAUCUUCUAGUGAUUGCUCUGAGCAUCAAGAAUUGUAAGAAAGGAAGGAAGGGCCCCCCAUCUCCUUCUCAGCUUGUGCUGCUCAGCUCCACACAGAAGAGCGUAUUUCUGCAGAAAGGCAGAAGCAGAGCUGUGAGUCACAAAUGAGUCAAAAGGACAAAAGCUUAGUUGGCAAAGACUGGCAUUUUUAUUAUAUAAAAUCAGACUUUUGAGAACUGUCUUUUUAAGCUUAGCAUCCUCCACAAUUCUUAAGUGGGAUUAAGAUGUCCAAAACAAGAUCUCUUCUUCUUUUAAUUACUAUCUACUGACAUUAUUACAGAGUUUACUAUUUGUGUAUGAGUUAAGCACAAGGUGAGGAAUUAUCCUAAGCAACAAUUUUUCCUUGCUUACCAAAGCUUGCAAUGGAGAGCAGAUUGCCUAUCCCUGUAAUGGAUGUACAUGUGUAAGAGAUUUUUAAAUGGCAAAUAACUAGCAGAGCCUUUAUUAUUAAUAUCAAAACAUUAUUUUUUCUUGUACUCUUUUUUCCAGAUGAGUUUUCUGUUUGAAUUCAUUGAAACUUUUUCAUGUAGUUUAUUAGAACCAGUAUAUUGUAUUAAUUUCCCUAAAAAUUCUUCACUUACAAAGCAGCUGAAUAAAUUUUAUAGUGGAAUAAGUUGUGAAGAUGAAUUACUGCCCAUGCAUGUGAACACCACUGAUCAGGAGGUGACACUUUACUGUAGUAGCUCAAUAGAGAGAUAUCAAGGAACAUAUAAGGGUUAAUUUAGCAAGAUCCCCUGAAACAGUGUAGAAAAAAAAUGUUUCAGUAGGUAAAAAUUCAGAAUGCUGUCUUUAUACAUUCAACAGUCUGCUAAAUUAAAAAUAGUUAAAACUCAUUUUUGUGCCACGAUUACACUAAAAUCUGAGAAGACCAGUAAGGGAGGAAAGUAUCUUCCAGGAGAUCAGAGCACUUUCAUGGAAUUUUGGACUUCAGAGAUUCUGCAGGUUUCAAAUAUAAAUAUAUGCAGUUUUAAAAUGUUAGAAACAAGUGAGUCAUCCUUAUCUCUCAGGGGAGUAGUUACUUAGGUUGGUAGCAUGGGAGGGUUAAGGGAAGGAAAAGAGGAAGACAGUUGUAAUAAUCUUGAGUAAUAGUAGACAAACCUGUCCCUGUUCCUUUUCUCUCUCUCCCAUCCUCUCUCGAUUAGCACAAGAGCUAUAGAAAUGUCAUUUCAACAUGUUACAUCCAUUCAUAUGAUCAAAAUGAAUUUAUUUUAGAACCCAAUUUUUGCAUAAAUGCUUAUAUAUGUGGUCAGAGAUAUAGAAGUCAGCAAAGAGCAUCACAUUAUUUAAGUGAGAUACUUUCAGCUAAGUAAGCUGAGCUGGUCAUGCAUGACAUUGAGUGCUGCUGAGAAGGUCCUCAGCAAACUCUCUUGCUCCUUUCCUCCCUACAGACGUGCAAAAAGUUCUCCGUACUUUAUACAUUCAUGUUGGUAAGGAUGUUUUCAAGCCACUGUAAACUAAGCAGCAAUGACAUUAGAUUCUAAUUAAGAUCUUUUGGCUUUCACAUUGAUAAUGAGCUGUAGGCACUUCUUUGUUGCUCAUGUUAUUUUUGUAAAGCUGUUUGGGAGCUCCCUUAGAGAAUCUCCCCCAAGAAAAAAUAUUGUUUUCUUCCACUCUCUGCACAUCAGUUGUCAAAUUCAAAGAUGCCUGCCAACACAGCUCAGCCUUUUGUAGUCAGAAAUUCAUUUUCAAACAAUGCUUUCCAAUUCCUAGGUAAUCUGGUGUGUGUUAUUUAAACAUCUAAUACAUGUAAUUUCACAAGGAUCAACAUAGCCAAGUACACAGAAGCCUAGAACUGGCAUGUCAAACAAAACAUUUUCUGUUAGAAGUGAAUAUGUUUUCACUGUGAUUGAAUAAUCAGUGUUUUGAAUGUUAGUGUCUGAAGUUUUACAAUGUAUUUCAAAGCCUAAUUUAAAAAGCACAUACUAACACUUCCCGAUUAUGUCUGUAGAGCAGCUGUUUUGUGUGAUUUAAUGGUGAGUGUAAAAACCUAGCUCCGUUUAAGCCAGCUGCAAGAAUCUCUGGAGUUUCUUUGGUUUGGCAGUUUCCCACCUUCUCCUUCAGGAUACAACCUUCUCCUUCACAAUGGGACUUUCAUCGCCAUCAAUUCCAAUCUCUAAUUAUGUUUCAAUCUUGCAAUGACGUGCCUAUAAAGAGUCUCUUGACAUUUUUUUCUUGGUUAACUUGGGCCAAGAUCACAUGGACAUGAUGUGGCCUGCUGAUUCUCAUGAUUUCAGUAAGAUCCAGCUGUCUUUCAGGAAAACCUCCUUCAAAAGAUCAUGACAGAGCUGGCUGGUGAACUGGUCAUCUUCUUUUACAGUAGCUGGUAAGUCAAAACAAGAUCACAGAGGCUAUGUCUUCAUUCAUUACUGAUGUUGGAGCUUAAAUUUGCAACUGCCUGCCCUUGAGUCAGAUGUUUUGUUUUGGGAGGUGUAGGUGUUUUGAUACAAGGCUAAUGAGAGUGAAUCCUUAAUCAUUAGACAACACUCUCCUGUGAGGCAAAAGUCUCACUCAGAAAUGAUAAAUCUUUGAACAGGCUGUUGCCCUACACUCUGAUGAAUUUACUCUGUAAAGUUUUGUUGUGCGAUAUGCUAUAAGAACCAUUUUCUACCUAAAUCUUUCCUGUGCCUGACCCCAGCCUUCCCUUUUUCAAGACAUCAAAAGGAGGCUGGAGCUUUACCUUUCUCUGCUAGGGAGGGGCAGACAUAUGGGGCACAAAAAGGGACAAGACUCCUCUAAUUAUCCACAGUAUCAAUAGUUUAUCUUCUCUGCAUUUCACCUACUACACUGCAAAAGUGUCAUUCUCUCACUAAGCAGUGUGCAGUGCCUAUGUUAGUCUUAUUUCAGACAGCAGGGCUUCCCAGGUGGUGUGCAGCAGCAGGAUUUGGAGCUGAGUCUAUGGUUAUUAUAGAUGGAUUAUGCACUUUGGGCUAGUGUGAUGAAAAUUCGUAAGAAUUUAGGAGAUUCUAUUACACAGAGUACUUCUGUUCCAUUUAAAAUAUAAAUAUAUAUAUAGUUACUAUGUGUGCUGACAAUGGUUACUGUCAAAAGUAAGGCUCUCUCCAACAGGAAUAAGACCAAUUUUGAGGGAAAGAAGAAGUGAAAUGACCUGUGCAGUGAGAAGGCUGGUUCUAGACUAGAUGAAAGAAUCUUUCCAGCCCUUUCCUCAGCUGUAUGACAAUUUAAUAAACACCUGCUUAACACUGCAAUUCACCCAAUCAAGUUUCAAGACCUUGGACACCUGUGCAACACAUUGAUGUUGAUAAUAAUAUCUGGAGAUUGAUUUCAUUAGCACAAAAGCCUACAAAUCCAAGUUGAUAGGUCUUGUACUCUGCACAGAACCCCUGGCUGGAUUGUACCAAGGCUGGUAUCCCAAUGUCACAAGCGGGGCUGCUGUCUGGCCCUGCUCCCCCCAGGCAGGUCAAGGCAGUACUGGCAGAUAGGCCAUCCCUGUGAGAUUCUCUUGCUGCUAAAAUGGCCCUCAUUUUCAUUAUCUGUGUUACAGUAGCACCUAGAGGUGCUUUUUAUUGGACAUAAAAAGACCCUGUUAUUCUACCUCAUGUGUCCUAUUGCUGAGCUAUAAUACAACACAAUCUCUUGGGCAUGAAAAUCUUUUUUUAAUUAAGCAAUUAGAAUACUGCAUUAUUUGAGGAUCAUUCAGCUUCUUCCAAUCCUUAUUUGAUUUAGCUUUAUUUCACUAAUGUACAUUUUGCUGCUUGUUGUUAUCUUUCUCUUUGAAUCUGCUUAGAAAUCCAUUUGCUCUGGGUAAUUGUUCCUUCACAAGGCACUUUUCAGUAAUGUUCAGCACAAUGAUUUCAUGUUAAAAGAUGAUGUUAAAAUAAAGUGGCUGUCAUGAUAAAGUCUGUUUCAAAAAAAGAAUCAAAAUCUACCAUUUGUUCCUGUUUCCAAUUAUCCUCCAUUACAGGUAAUGAAAUAAUGUGAGUAAAAGUUACAAGUGUCAUACUUAAAGGGAACUUGGACACUCAUCAAUAAUAUCAGAGAUGACAAAACUAAUCUUGUUUAGUUACAUAUACUGCUGCAGUCAGAACGUCUGAUUACAAGAGAGAAAGGAAGCAUCAGUAUUAUUACUGAAGUCUGAAAGUCAUUUUAUUCCCAAAUUAGCAGCAUUGUUGAUACAGCUGAAUAUAUUGAAUGUACAUUUCCUUUAUCAAAAUAAUUUCUGUGCAAUAAACAGAAAGAAUUUGAAUGUACUGCCUCAAUUUGACUUUUUUUCUAUCUGAAUGACUUUUAUAUAGAGAAAGAAUAAACAAUUUUAUUAGAGUGGUGGUUCUACCAUUUCUCCUUCAGGCCCAUAAAAUGAAGCCUUGCUUUGCCGACUUCCAUGCCAAUGACCAGUGAAAAUGAUAUAUGCCUGAUGAUUUCCCUUCCUAGUAAAUGUCUGGGCAGCUUCUGACUCAGCUGAACUUUCAAAUUCAGACUUGAGAAUACCAGCCCACGACAUUACAUUUUCAUCAACAAGUUACCCUCUACCUCCAGAGGCAAGCCCGUGGCUUUGAAGCUGGAUACAUGGAAAAGAGGACACAAUAUGUUUUAUGUCAUUUAUGUUUAGACUAGUAAUCAUUUCAUCUUGUUUUUCUACACAGAUAUGCAGAAGUAUAUGUUGAAAAAUAUUUUAAGUUCUUCAUAGUAGGAUUAGCUCUACAAGAUUUCUCUUACUGGUAGCUUAGAGUUGAAUAAAGCAUCUUAGUCUCAAUUUACAAUAUAAUAGAAUCAUAGAAUCACCAAGGUUGGAAAAGACCUCCAAGAUCAUUCAGUCCAUCCAUCCAUCCAAUCCAUCUACCACCAGUAUUUCCCCACUAAUCAUGGCUUCAAGCUCAGCCAAGUGUCUGAGAUGAAGACAGGAAGAUGUUACUUGAUAUGUAAAUGACUAUUAGAGGAACUGGAUAGUUGCAGAUUGAGAUUAGCAGACUAAUUCAUUAUCUCAUUUGUUGAAAGUCCCUAAUUUAAAAAUUUCUGUGAUUUAUUUCCAGCAAGUGCAACAAUACGAUAUGCCACAGGAAAUCUCCAGCAAUGACAUGGGUGACCAGCUAGAGCUCAGUGCAUGUUUCUGAAGAUUUCAGCUUACUGAGUUCAACUUGUGGUAGUCACAUCUGCUACACCAAAGGUAUUUGUUUUUUUGAGGAAUCUGUUCGCUGCCACUGCAGGUCAGUAAAGAUUCACGGCCUUUCAUGUGGGCCUGGAAAAUCUGCUGGAUUGACAGUGAGAGCACAGGAGGAAAAUAAUAGCAUGUCCCAUGGGCAUCAGAUUCCAGCUGUGUCAGGAAAAGUCCUUUCCAUGUUGCUGCAUUUGGGAUGCACCUCUGUCCCAAGAGGGGCAAAUAUGGUCUCCAUAUUCAUGAAGCAGGAGUGGACACAAACGUUUGGCCAAUGCUUUUGACAGCAUAAUAGGGGGGAGGGAUAGGCUGUAUUUUUUCAUAAUUUUCUUUUGUUUGUUUACUAUGUUAUUAUUCAUGCCUCACUCUGGGAGAAGCAACAGAAAACUUUGCUUAAGUAAGAGAGGCUUGUUAAAGUAACCAUCAUCUGAUGCUAACAAUCUUGACAGGAACCUGUUUUUUGCAAGUGAUCCUAGCUAGGAAAUGUGAUUGUGAAGAUGUCAUGAUUCAGACUUCAGCUGAAUUUCUUAGGUUGUUAUCAGCCUAGUUGUAGGUCAUUUUACAAUACAGAGCAAGGUAGAUAUUAAUGUCUGUGGUCAACAGUCUACUUAUAAUAGACAAAGUGUUACAUGAUAGUUUCAUGGAAAGAUUGAUGCUUCUGUCCCUGAGAUGUUGCUGACUCAUCUGUGGCAUCUAAUGGAUGCACUUCCCUGAAUUUAUUCCCGCUUCCAGUUCCAUAAAUACAGCAAAAAUAAAAGAUACCUCUUAGGAAACAUCCUGUCUUCAUCAUAGUAACACUUACUCCCAUGGUUAAUUACUCUUACUGUUAAGCAUUUGCAUCUUAUUUCUAGCCUAGAUGUGUCUAGCAUGAGAUUCCAGUUAUAGCUUACCAUCAGAUUGAUAUUUUCUUCAAAAAGCUAUUUUCAAUUGAGAGGGCUUGAAAUUAACCAAGCUUCUUUCAGUAAGAUGAUCAAGAUAACAAUAUCAUUCUUUUCAAUGAAACAGUUUUUCACCAUUCAGCAAAAGUCUCUUUUCACAGUAAGGGAACAUUCUGAAAUAAUUAAAAGAUUUUUGUGAUUUAGUUUUUAAAAUAGUACUAAUGCUUUAGCUUUGAUGUUCCAAAGAUACGAGGGAGACAAGGUCUGCAUUGUAUGGUCAUAUAUUUUACUAGACCAACUGAUACAGAUAGGGGGAAAAAAAAUGACUCAGAAGUAUUCCUUGAGAUGAGGAAAGGCUUUUGUGAUCAACAGCUUAUCCAUUUAUCAGUCAGUUUUAUAAGAUAUAUGACUUCUCAUCUCAAGUCUUCCAUCUUUGCAACAUUUAACAAAAAAGGCAGAAUGUUUUGUAUGCAAAAGAACAUUCACAUAUUUUCUAGCAAAAAAGAAAAAAAAGAAAAGAAAGAAAAAAAAAGAAAAAUAAUACAUGCAAAAGUUAUGAGCUGCAUUGUUCAGCUCAAAGAUAAAUCAAGAAAAUUAUAUACUUUCCAACUGUUGAGUUAAGGAAACUUCUGUUACAGUUGUCUCUCUCAUCUUUCACAUAAUCACAGAAUAAUUGAGGCUGGAAAAGACUGCCAAGAUCACCCAGUCCAACCCCACCCCCCUUAUGCCCACUGACCACGUCCCUCAGUGCCAGAUCUACACAUUCCUUGAACACCUCCAGGGAUGGUGACUCCCUGAGCAGCCCGUGUCAUUUCAUCACCAAUCUUUCAGAGAAUAAAUUGUUCCUAAUAUCCAACCUGAACCUCCCCUGAUGCGACUUGAGACCUAAAAGGAGGUUGUAGUGUGGAGUGGGUGGACGUCUUCUCUCAAGUAACUAGUGAUAGGACAAAAAUUAACUUCCAAUCAUUAAAAUAUUUCCUAAAUGUACUGGGAAGUACUCUGUUCUCAACUCUACCAGUGCUGGAGUAAGUAGGAAAUUGCACUGAGUGGUCAAAUAACGUAAUUACGCAAAAAGAAAAAUGCUUUUGUUUAAAAUGAGGCAAGGAGUUCUUGAUUCUUUCUCAUUCACAACAUUUACUACAUAUUUGACAUUUGAGAUGCUAUAACUAGGAAGAGAUGAAUCCAUCCUGGGGGGAAGGAUGUUAUUUCUACAGCUAAUUGGCUGGCUGAUACCUUAAUUCAUAAAGCUGUGUGCCUGCUCUCAUUUACCAUGGCUAGAUUGCAGCCAUUUAUAGCAGGCAAUGAGAACAAGAAUAGUUAUUUUUCCUGCUUUCUUUGAAGUUCAUUCUUAAAAAUCACUGAGGUAUAAAAUUCCUCUUCAAUUCAUUCUUUCAAAACUCAAGCACCACUAAAAUAUAUAUAAUAUCAAACCUUCCCCAAGAAAUCUGUCACACGGUGACUGAGAACAGCUUCAAUUAAAUCUUCUUAUUAAGUGAAGAAGUAAUUUACACUUAGGUUUCACCAGAUGAGGUUGAUGUAAUUAUACUAGGGAUGUUCCAACAAUUGACAGCUCCCCGUAGCCUUAUAAUCAUCUGCAAAUUAGAAGAUGAAGAGCUCUGAGUUCCCAUUUCUUCCAUGCACAAUGCAUAUAGAAAGCUAAAUAAGGAUGUUUCCAAAGGAAGCCACACCUUUCUGGAUUUUUUUCUCUUUAAAAAUUUUAAUGGUAAUAGUUGACCUCAUUUUUACUUUUUAAAAUCAUUUUCUAUGCUCUCACUGCCACCUGAGUCCCUUUGCCAGCGUCCCUAGAGUUUGGGGUUUUGGAGACAGAGAACAGACAGCUGCUGAAGGGAGAGAGGGGAGCAAGCUGUGUCUGAGGAUCCUGAGCCCUUCCUUCUCCUUCAGCACUGUCGGUUACAAGCAUCAAGACUGCACUUCAACCACUCUUCCAGAGCGAGGUUUCCCCUUCCAGAAUUUUAUCAUUCUACACUAAGCACCAAUGGAUAUCGUAACUGAAGUGCAUGAAUGUUAUUGUUCCUCCUUACUUUGCCUCUGUAUGAUUUUAUUUUACUCUGUUUCAUGUUACUGAUUUUUAACAUUUAGUGUUAAGAACUGAACAGAGAUUCGGCUAAAAAAUAAAGCAAGUCCAAUGUUGAAUACUUAUAUAUAUAUGUGUGUGUGUGUGUGUGUAUAUAUACACAUAUGUAUAUAUAUAUAUAUAUAUAAGAUCAUUAUGUUACCUGUGUACUUCAAGAUAUAAUUCGGAGUGGUUGUUUCUUCUAGUUGAAAGAGAAAAUCUUUUAAUUUCAAUUAGUUAGAAAAUCCUUUAGGGAUUCUGUCCUUCACAAGCAAUAAAGUUACUUUAUGUUCCUAUCAUGAACAAAGACUUUUCUAAGCUGAGGUCUACAUAUAAGUCAAAUGAAACAUCAAAAAAAUGUUUGGCUUAUGAUCAUUGAAAAAGCUCAUGUCUGGGGAAAAAAAAAUAUAUGAACAAUUCACAGUUCAGACAUAAAAUGAGCAAACUGAUGUGCACUUCAGUGCUAAAAUGAAGGUGCCAGAACUGUCUCAUAGAAUAAAUUAUACAGUAGAUUUAAGUCUGGUCUAUUCAAGAAAUUCCCUUUAUACAGUGUAGCAUGCAGAAUUUUAACUGUUCUGGGACACAUGUAUUAUUAAUGUUCACAAAGACCAGAUAUUGGUGUGUUAAAAUAAAAGGAACAACUGACUAAUACCAUCUUCAGUCAAUCUGCUGUCAGUGGUGUGCAAACAUUUUUACAAUUGCACAGUGCAAUUUAUUCAUCUCCUGAAUGGCUGUUGUCUUCUCUUUGUGAAGGUGAAAGAUGGAGAGGAAAUGCGAGGUGACAAUUUUAAGUCUUCGGGUAUGAAUGUUGGAAUAGCUAAAUAUUAUUUUUAUAUUUACAUUUUAUACCAAAAGUCAUUUACUUAUACAUCCAGUAACCAGCAGAUUAGCUAUGCUGCAUAAGGAAAAAAUCUAGGCUGAAAAAGAGGUCUUUGAGGUACUGAUUUUCUCCUUGAUUUCCCUGAUGCACCACAGCAGGACUUUUCUUACUGAUAUUUUAUUCAUUUUUCUCCUCUUCUAAUUACCUUUGAUUUUUUUUC